rnacentral:lncRNA from 1 species
UUAUAUACAUAAUCUAUACCAACAAGCCACUAGAAAUUUGGAUGUAUAAAACAACAGACACAUUUAACACCUUGGGAGUCCAGGUGAGGUUUAUUGAAGUCCUCUGCCAGGCUGCAAUCAAAGUGUGGGCCUGAGCCGAGUUCUCAACUGGAGGCUUCACUGGGGAAAGCUGUGCUUCCAAACUCACUCAAGUGUUGCCAGAAUUCAAUUCCUUGUGACUGUAAGUUUGGGAACUCUAGCUCUUGUUGGGUGGAAGCUGGAAGCUGUCCUCAGCACCUAGUCGUAGGCCUGGGCUUCCUGCCACACGGGCCUCCUGACAUGGUCACUUAUUAUACUUCUUCAAAGCCAGCAAGGGAGACAGUGUCUAGAGGCAGUCAUCUAGCAAGAUGGAGACUUACAACAUGAGGCACAUACAAGAGUGACCUCCCAUCGUCUUUGAGGCAUUCUAUUUCUUGUGUCUUUGUGAAGCUUCCUAUCUUUGCUUUUCAACUAAGAUGAAACAGCAUUUAAAAGAAAAUGCCAUGUGAGAUGAGAUCAGGAGAAUGGAUUCUUUCUUUCAUCUGAAUAGAGAGCUGCUGUUCGAGAUUCUAACUCAAAUAGCUCAAAGGACACCUUCUCCGGGAAACCUUCCCUGACUUCCGACGCUGUUUCCUGUUUUGCAGGAAAGAAUACACAAGCUCAGAAUCUCUUGGGCUGAGUGACAAAGGAGGAAAAGGGAUGGUUCCAAGUAGGAUUGGAGCUUCUGCUUCCUCACUUCCUCACGUAGCUCCAUCUGCCUCUUCAGAGAGCUCCCAUCUCCCACUGUGUGCAGCUGAGUUCCAAGCACUCCUGGCGGCAUAAUGACUGGGACAAAGAUAUUUCCUGCAGUUGUCAAUGGUGCUCCUAUACUGAAACUCUCCUAGGAACUUGGCCAAAUCUUCCUGCUCCCCAUCCCUGAUUUCUGUGAACAAGAGGGAAGACUUUGUCACACUUCUCAUUGGUGAUCAUAUUAAUUUCUAGGCCAUGUGUAUCUAGAUAUGAAAUAAUAUUUCUGUUAUUUUAAAAUAUAAGAUCCUUGGAAGAUGUCAUCUAUUGGAACAUGUAACUAUAUAGCCAGAAGAGGAGAUCACUAGAGCCAGACUGCUCUGUCUACAUACUUAAAAAGACAUUUGGAGGAAGAGAGCAUCUGCAAAUGUUGAUGAAAAUGGGUUUGGAACUUCUCUUUUGAUCAGGAAAUAGGUAGACCAUAAAAUGUCUGAUGCAUGUUGCUGCCUGAAGCAAACCCACAAUCUGGAACCCAGUCAUCUUGUUGCUCUAGAAAGCAUCAAGAGAAAAUGGAAGAAGGCUUAAAAGGCCCAUCACAUUUUAAUCUCUAUGGUUGGAUUAAUCAAAAGUUUUCAUAGUUUUACUAAAGAAAAAUGAGUGGUCAUUUAUACUUCAUCUCUAACAAGAAACUUUUUUGUCCAGUGCUCAAAAAUACAUAUGCUAUUAUGCUAUAGUUUCCUUAUGACUUGUUUUGUUUUCUAUAGUUGAUUGUGAGCCUCCAAAGGGCAUGGAGCUAUAUGGUAUGAUUCUUUGCUCCUCAGGCAUUUUCUUGCUCAGGAGACAUACCUAACAUGUUUUUACUUAAUGAUAAAGGUGGUAUGAAUGCAUCAUCAAUAACAGAAGCUUAGAGCUAGAAGUAAAUGUUUAAUCAUUUACUUUUGCUUGUUUUUCUUUUCCUUUUUUUUUUGCAUUGUCUACUUUAAGACCCACAUAUUACAAAUAAGAAGCAUUAAAAGUCGUUAGUGUCAAGAUCGGGGACAUGAAUUAGGUCUCUUGAUUCUAAAGAUGAUUACAGUAAUAACAGAAAAGGCUUUCUCAUCAAGCAGUGUAACUCAGUGGAACAAGCUUCAGAUUGAGCAGUGGCAAUGUGGUUUCGUGGACAGGCACUGGCUGGGAGCUUGGAUCUCAUUAUUGUGGGUUCAUCUCAGUCAUGUGUUGACCUGAGGUGCAGGUGGCUCUAUUGGGAGUCAGCCAGCUGUGGAUGGUAACCACACAUGACCAAAAUGAGUCUUCAGAAGCUAUCACUUGAACACAGCAACGACACUGGGCACUACUAAGAAGGAGGGAGGAAGUGGACCAAGGGCUGAAAAACUAACUAUUGGGUCCUAUGCUUAGUUCCUG